GGGGAAUAUUGCACAAUGGGCGCAAGCCUGAUGCAGCAACGCCGCGUGAGGGACGACGGCCUUCGGGUUGUAAACCUCUUUUAGUAGGGAAGAAGCGAAAGUGACGGUACCUGCAGAAAAAGCACCGGCUAACUACGUGCCAGCAGCCGCGGUAAUACGUAGGGUGCAAGCGUUGUCCGGAAUUAUUGGGCGUAAAGAGCUCGUAGGCGGUUUGUCGCGUCUGCUGUGAAACCCCGAGGCUCAACCUCGGGCCUGCAGUGGGUACGGGCAGACUAGAGUGCGGUAGGGGAGAUUGGAAUUCCUGGUGUAGCGGUGGAAUGCGCAGAUAUCAGGAGGAACACCAAUGGCGAAGGUAGAUCUCUGGGCCGUAACUGACGCUGAGGAGCGAAAGCAUGGGUAGCGAAC
rnacentral:rRNA from 1 species